CCUACGGGAGGCAGCAGUGAGGAAUAUUGGUCAAUGGGCGGAAGCCUGAACCAGCCAUCCCGCGUGCAGGAAGACAGCCCUAUGGGUUGUAAACUGCUUUUCCAGUGGGCGAAACACUCGUACGUGUACGAGAUUGACGGUACACUGGGAAUAAGCAUCGGCUAACUCCGUGCCAGCAGCCGCGGUAAU
rnacentral:rRNA from 1 species